rnacentral:tRNA from 1 species
GCCCGGCUGGCUCAGUCAGUGGGGCGUGAGACUCUUGAUCCCGGGGUUGUGAGUUCAAGCCCCAUGUCCGGCU